GCUCCAAUAGCGUAUAUUUAAGUUGUUGCAGUUAAAAAGCUCGUAGUUGGAUUUCGGGUGGGUAUCGCCGGUCUCCUUUGGGUAUGUACUGGCGUGGCCGCCUUGCUGUCGGGGACGAUCUCCUGCCUUCACUGUCCGGGAAUCGGAGUCGACGAUGUUACUUGAGUAAAUUAGAGUGUUCAAAGCAGGCCUACGCUCUG
rnacentral:rRNA from 1 species